rnacentral:rRNA from 1 species
GAUGAACGCUGGCGGCGUGCUUAACACAUGCAAGUCGAACGAAGCACUUAAGAUUGAUUCUUCCGAUGACGUGUUUUGUGAGUUAGUGGCGGACGGGUGAGUAACGCGUGGGUAACCUGCCUCACACCGGGGGAUAACAGCUAGUAAUGACUGCUAUUACGGCAUAACCCGAUAGGAUCGAAUGAUCGAGACGGAAAGGAUUUAUCGGUGUGAGAUGGACGCGCGUCGGAUUAGCUAGUUGGUAAGGUAACGGCCCACCAAGGCGACGAUCAGUAGCCGGCAUGUGAGAGUGAACGGCCACAUUGGGACUGAGACGCGGCAGAAACUCCUACGCGAGGCAGCAGUGGGGAAUAUUGCACAAUGGGGGAAGCCCUGAUGCAGCGACGCCGCGUGAGUGAAGAAGUAUUUCGGUAUGUAAAGCGCUAUCAGCAGGGAAGAAAAUGACGGUACCUGACUAAGAAGCCCCGGCUAACUACGUG